rnacentral:rRNA from 1 species
AGAGUUUGAUCAUGGCUCAGAACGAGCGCUGGCGGAAUGCCUAACACAUGCAAGUCGAACGAAGUCUUCGGAUUUAGUGGCGCACGGGUGAGUAACGCGUGGGAAUCUGCCUUGGGGUACGGAAUAACUCAGGGAAACUUGAGCUAAUACCGUAUGAUGUCGUGAGACCAAAGAUUUAUCGCCCCAAGAAGAGCCCGCGUCAGAUUAGCUAGUUGGUGAGGUAAUGGCUCACCAAGGCGACGAUCUGUAGCUGGUCUGAGAGGAUGAUCAGCCACACUGGGACUGAGACACGGCCCAGACUCCUACGGGAGGCAGCAGUGGGGAAUAUUGGACAAUGGGCGAAAGCCUGAUCCAGCAAUUCCGCGUGAGCGAAGAAGGCCUUCGGGUUGUAAAGCUCUUUCGGCAGGGACGAUAAUGACGGUACCUGCAGAAGAAGCCCCGGCUAACUCCGUGCCAGCCGCCGCGGUAAUAC